CACACUGGACUGAGACACGGUCCAGACUCCUACGGGAGGCAGCAGUGGGGAAUAUUGCACAAUGGGCGCAAGCCUGAUGCAGCCAUGCCGCGUGUGUGAAGAAGGCCUUCGGGUUGUAAAGCACUUUCAGUCGUGAGGAAGGUAGUGUAGUUAAUAGCUGCAUUAUUUGACGUUAGCGACAGAAGAAGCACCGGCUAACUCCGUGCCAGCAGCCGCGGUAAUACGGAGGGUGCGAGCGUUAAUCGGAAUUACUGGGCGUAAAGCGCAUGCAGGUGGUUUGUUAAGUCAGAUGUGAAAGCCCGGGGCUCAACCUCGGAAUAGCAUUUGAAACUGGCAGACUAGAGUACUGUAGAGGGGGGUAGAAUUUCAGGUGUAGCGGUGAAAUGCGUAGAGAUCUGAAGGAAUACCGGUGGCGAAGGCGGCCCCCUGGACAGAUACUGACACUCAGAUGCGAAAGCGUGGGGAGCAAACAGGAUUAGAUACCCUGGUAGUCCACGCCGUAAACGAUGUCUACUUGGAGGUUGUGGCCUUGAGCCGUGGCUUUCGGAGCUAACGCGUUAAGUAGACCGCCUGGGGAGUACGGUCGCAAGAUUAAAACUCAAAUGAAUUGACGGGGGCCCGCACAAGCGGUGGAGCAUGUGGUUUAAUUCGAUGCAACGCGAAGAACCUUACCUACUCUUGACAUCCA
rnacentral:rRNA from 1 species